AGGGGAGUAGUAUAACUUCAUUUAAAUUACGCCAAUCUGCUAGAUUGGAGACUCUUCAAGCGGAUUCCCCU
rnacentral:tRNA from 1 species